rnacentral:rRNA from 1 species
UACAGAGGGUGCAAGCGUUGUUCGGAAUUAUUGGGCGUAAAGGGCGCGUAGGCGGUGCGGUAAGUCUGUAGUGAAAUCUCUGGGCUCAACUCAGAGUCUGCUGCAGAAACUGCCGUGCUUGAGUGUGGGAGAGGUGAGUGGAAUUCCUGGUGUAGCGGUGAAAUGCGCAGAUAUCAGGAGGAACACCCGUGGCGAAAGCGGCUCUCUGGGACGGUACUGACGCUGAGACGCGAAAGCGUGGGGAGCAAACAGG